GUGCCAGCAGCCGCGGUAAUACGGAGGGGGCGAGCGUUAUUCGGAAUUAUUGGGCGUAAAGGGCGCGUAGGCGGCUCGAUAAGUCAAAGGUGAAAUCCCUCGGCUCAACUGAGGAACUGCCUUUGAAACUGUAGAGCUUGAGUCCGGGAGGGGGUAGCGGAAUUCCCAGUGUAGCGGUGAAAUGCGUAGAUAUUGGGAGGAACACCAGUGGCGAAGGCGGCUACCUGGACCGGAACUGACGCUGAGGCGCGAAAGCGUGGGUAGCAAACAGGAUUAGAUACCCUGGUAGUCC
rnacentral:rRNA from 1 species